UGGGGAAUUUUGGACAAUGGGCGAAAGCCUGAUCCAGCCAUUCCGCGUGAGUGAAGAAGGCCUUCGGGUUGUAAAGCUCUUUCGCAAGGGAAGAAAACUUAGGCGCUAAUAUCGCCUGAGGUUGACGGUACCUUGAUAAGAAGCACCGGCUAACUACGUGCCAGCAGCCGCGGUAAUACGUAGGGUGCGAGCGUUAAUCGGAAUUACUGGGCGUAAAGCGUGCGCAGGCUGUUUUGUAAGUCAGAUGUGAAAUCCCUGAGCUCAACUUAGGAACUGCGUUUGAAACUACAAGACUAGAAUAUGUCAGAGGGGGGUAGGAUUCCACGUGUAGCAGUGAAAUGCGUAGAGAUGUGGAGGAAUACCAAUGGCGAAGGCAGCCCCCUGGGAUAAUAUUGACGCUCAUGCACGAAAGCGUGGGGAGCAAACA
rnacentral:rRNA from 1 species